rnacentral:lncRNA from 1 species
AUGCCCCAUGCUCCACCAAUGCAGACUCCCCUUUCCCAGCCUGCAACGCCUCACACUUCCAAGGCACCGCUGCUGCUGCCGCCGCCCAGGAGGAACUACACUUCAGCGCUGCUGCCCCUCGUCUCACCAGCUCCCCCGCCACCUGGUGACCCUAGCUGCCCUCUGUGUUGCUGCCGCCACCAUAGACUUACACCUCCCUGCCUAGGAGACCCACGCUUCACCGAGGCAGACUUAGAGCCAUGCUUCCCCACCAAUGACGCCGACGCUUCACCAAAACCACCCCACGGGUUGCUGCCACCACCCACUUUACCCCUGCUGCUCAAAGUGUCCCUGUCGCCGACCACCCCAUGCUUCGCAGAGUCACUGCUGCCUCAUCCUUCCUCUCCGCUGCCCACUGCAGAACUGCGCUUCCCUGCCCAUGAUGCUCCACGCGACGCUGAUGCCCACACCCACAUCGCUACCCACCUGGACACUGAGGCUGCCACCGCUGCUGGCCAACACGGAACUGAGCAGAGCUGCCGCCACGGCCUGGAUCCCGCCGCUGAAGACUUCUGCUCCCCUGCCCGCCCAGAAUGCCGCAAUCCUCACCAACAGCAACACGGAGCCACACUUCCCCACCCAGGACGCCGGAUGCUUCCCCACUGCCCACCUCACUGCCACUGUGCUGCUACUCGUUGCUGUCAAGGAUGCAGAUCUUUGCUGCCUCACAGACGGCCACAGAUAUGCAGUCGCCACUGCUGCCCCAUCCUUCCUCUCUGCUGCCCACUGCGGAACUGUGCUUCCCCGAGCAUGACGCCCCAUGCAAGGCUGAUGCUGACGCCUCCAAGGCCUCUGCUACCAACACUGAAGCCCCUGCCGGAGGACACAGACCUGCGGCCCCUGCCGCCCCUUGGUUCCCCACUGCUGCCAGACAGGCAGCCACCGCCGAAGUCUUCUGCUUCUCUGCCCCAACGCUUCUCCACCACCACCACUGCCUGCUUAGCCAUUGCUGUCCAAAAUGUCACCACUGCCACCAGUACACACCUGCUCUUCCUGGCCAACCGCCCAACUCUUCCCAAAUUGUUGCCACCGCAUCCUUCUCUCCGUGGCCGGCCACUGAACUGCGCUUCCCCGCCAGUUCUGCCGAUACUACCAACGCCAAGGCCUCAUGUAGGCAGACACCCCACAGGCACCGACGCUGAUGCCUACGGCGCAAGGGACGCCGCUCCCACGCUGACCUGCCUGAGGCCGCGGCCAGCCCAGGUUUUCUCUAACUUUCUUAGCAGGCCAGUGCUUCGCCGCUGGCCCUCUGAGUGGCCAUGA